AAGACACAGUUCAAACCCACCCUUGGAGAGCCAUGUGGGCUGGGUGAUGGAUUCCCGUGAGCACAGGCCCCGUACUGCUUCCAUCAGAGAUGGCACAGACUGCAAAUAGGCAUGCUUUUGAAGAAAAUAUACAAUUGAUCUUUGAACAACGAAGGGCGUGGGGUGCCCAGCUGCACACAGUUGAAAAUCCGUGUAUAACUUUUGACUCUCCAAAAGCCUACUGUUAACCAGAAGCCUUACCAAUAACAUAUAGUCAAUUAGCACAUGUUUUGCAUAUUAUAUGUAUUACAUACUGUAUUCUUACAAUAAGCUAAAUAAAAAAUAUUACUAAGAAAAUCACAAAGAAGGGAACAACAAACACUGGGGCCUACUUGGUGGGGAGAGGGAGGAGAGUGAGGUACAGUUUACCUACUUAACAAACCUGUACACAUACCUCUGAACCUAAAAUAAAAGUUAAAAUCAUAAGA
rnacentral:lncRNA from 10 species